AAAAAUCACUUUCUGUUGAAUAUUCAGCGUGGUAUCGGUAUAAAAAUCGUUGGAACGGGCUGAAGUAUAGAUAGUGAGGAACGCGCAAGUUCGGUGGAUCGGUGAAUAAUUUAGUUCCAUUAACUUGGAACAACUGGGUUGAGUGCGAUGCUCGCGAACUAGGCAAGAUACACGAGACGAUCUCCGCGUUCGAUCUCAAGUCUGAUUUCGGAUGGUGUUACGUGGCCGUAAUCCAGCGGCAGCUAUACAAACUUCGGAUUAGGAUGUAAUCGAACGGACGAUUUCAGUACACCAGUCAGUUCUGGCAGCAACAUGAGCAGUAUAGCACGGUUUCCAAAGUUGGACGAGUGUGCCCACUUUCAUUACGAACAUGUUGAACUCAGUUCCUUGGAGGUCAGUUACAUUCAGAUUAAACUUUAAACUAAACUCAACUU